rnacentral:rRNA from 1 species
UCACACCAUGAGAGUUGAGAAUACCCGAAGUCCAUGUCAAAGUGGCCGAAGGUAGGCUUGAUGAUUGGGGUGAAGUCGUAACAAGGUAAC